UACGUAGGGUGCGAGCGUUGUCCGGAAUUACUGGGCGUAAAGAGCUCGUAGGUGGUUUGUCACGUCGUCUGUGAAAUUCCGGGGCUUAACCUCGGGCGUGCAGGCGAUACGGGCAAUACUUGAGUGCUGUAGGGGAGACUGGAAUUCCUGGUGUAGCGGUGAAGUGCGCAGAUAUCAGGAGGAACACCAAUGGCGAAGGCAGGUCUCUGGGCAGUUACUGACGCUGAGGAGCGAAAGCAUGGGUAGCGAACAGGAUUAGAUA
rnacentral:rRNA from 1 species